AACGUCCUUUCAGCAGUGAAGGAAGGUGGGUUAUGUUAAUAGCAUAUUCAUUUGACGUUAGCUGCAGAGGAAGCCCCGGCUAACUCCGUGCCAGCAGCCGCGGUAAUACGGAGGGUGCGAGCGUUAAUCGGAAUUACUGGGCGUAAAGCGCAUGCAGGUGGUUUGUUAAGUCAGAUGUGAAAGCCCGGGGCUCAACCUCGGAAUUGCAUUUGAAACUGGCAAACUAGAGUACUGUAGAGGGGGGUAGAAUUUCAGGUGUAGCGGUGAAAUGCGUAGAGAUCUGAAGGAAUACCGGUGGCGAAGGCGGCCCCCUGGACAGAUACUGACACUCAGAUGCGAAAGCGUGGGGAGCAAACAGGAUUAGAUACCCUGGUAGUCCACGCCGUAAACGAUGUCUACUUGGAGGUUGUGGCCUUGAGCCGUGGCUUUCGGAGCUAACGCGUUAAGUAGACCGCCUGGGGAGUACGGUCGCAAGAUUAAAACUCAAAUGAAUUGACGGGGGCCCGCACAAGCGGUGGAGCAUGUGGUUUAAUUCGAUGCAACGCGAAGAACCUUACCUACUCUUGACAUCUACAGAAGCCAGCGGAGACGCAGGUGUGCCUUCGGGAACUGUAAGACAGGUGCUGCAUGGCUGUCGUCAGCUCGUGUUGUGAAAUGUUGGGUUAAGUCCCGCAACGAGCGCAACCCUUAUCCUUGUUUGCCAGCACUUCGGGUGGGAACUCCAGGGAGACUGCCGGUGAUAAACCGGAGGAAGGUGGGGACGACGUCAAGUCAUCAUGGCCCUUACGAGUAGGGCUACACACGUGCUACAAUGGCGCAUACAGAGGGCGGCCAACUUGCGAAAGUGAGCGAAUCCCAAAAAGUGCGUCGUAGUCCGGAUUGGAGUCUGCAACUCGACUCCAUGAAGUCGGAAUCGCUAGUAAUCGUGGAUCAGAAUGCCACGGUGAAUACGUUCCCGGGCCUUGUACACACCGCCCGUCACACCAUGGGAGUGGGCUGCAAAAGAAGUGGGUAGUUUAACCUUCGGGAGGACGCUCACCACUUUGUGGUUCAUGACUGGGGUGAAGUCGUAACAAGGUAACCG
rnacentral:rRNA from 1 species